UUAAACUGAAGAGUUUGAUCAUGGCUCAGAUUGAACGCUGGCGGCAAGCCUAACACAUGCAAGUCGAGCGGUAACAGAUCCAGCUUGCUGGAUGCUGACGAGCGGCGGACGUGUGAGUAAUGCAUAGGAAUCUGCCCGAUAGUGGGGGAUAACCUGGGGAAACCCAGGCUAAUACCGC
rnacentral:rRNA from 1 species